GGGUCCAGGAGGAAUUUUAAAAAAAAACACACGUAAAAAAAAACAAUAGAAACUUACUUAUACACUUGAAUCACUAGGUGGCGCUCUCAACCCUGUAUGGCCUCUGGGUUCCCAGCCAAGGUCUUCUAAGAGAUAGGAGUUGGUCUAAGCUGCGUGGGACUCAAAACAGCUUCAGAGAUUAUGGGUUUAAACAGUAACUCUCACCGCCCAGAGGAGGAGAAGAGGCCCGGACUGUUCAGCGGCUUGUUCAAGGUCACGUAUCUUGGACGAAGCCAGGACUCACCACAUCUCCAAGGCCUGCGAUUUCUGAAAUGUAUCACAGAGGUCCAGGGCUCUGAACAGAGCGCAGUGGACACAAUGCAGACGUCUGUUCUGAUGAGCCACGGAGUGCGCUUUGGUGAAGAACAACUUACACAGGCACCCGACCCAAAUGGAAUUUGCUGGCUCAGGUAUCUGAAAAGUCCGAGGGUACCCUCUUCUGUUCUGGUGGCAAGAUGGGCACCAGCAGCUCCAGGCAGACAUCCUCUUUCCUCCACAGCACUGGCUGGAAGAGAGAUCUUUGUCUUCCCAGUGGUUCCAACCCAGGUCCCAGAACUGAGCCUCAUUGGCCUGGCUUGGUUCACCUGUACAUGCCUGAACCAAUGGCUAGGCCAGAGGGAUGCA